UCCACAAAAAUCAAAAUUACAACACUUUCGGCUUUUGAUUCAAAAUUUUCCGCAAUGAACUAUAAAACAAAGUUUACAAGUAACUCAAUUACUUGCAUGAAAUCAUUUAAGACAGUAAAUAUAAAUAUAAAAAAAGAGUGCAAUAUAAAUACUUAACCCAUUCCUUCAACAAUUUGGAUGAUGAGAAUGAUGAAUAUGAAUGCUAGUGAUCAUCAUUCACAACCAAUAAUCUUCAUUUCUUAUUUAUUUAAUUUUUUAUUCAAUUGAACAAUGUACUCAAUUACUCAAUUACUCAAUUUUUGUAAUUUGCCCAUCGGAAGUCAAUGUUUAAUUUCCAGAAGCGAAACGAACUGCAGAAAAUUUUAAAGUUCGAUGGCAACACCCCGGAAUUGAACCCAACUCGAAUGUGUCUAACAACCAGUUUGAGAUGUCAUUGGCUGGAAAUUCACUGGAGACUCAAACUCUUAUUCAUCUUUAACGUAUUUGUGGUAGACAACUAUCUAUUAGCUGGGGUAGGUCUACGUCAUUUAAUACUCCAGUGAGAUGAGAACAUUAUUUUAUUGAUUAAUUGUUCUAUUUUUCCACACGAUUAUGACAACAUCAAAUUGCCACCUUUUUCGUAUAAAUUUUUAGUAAAUAAAGUUUAUUGACGAAAUUAAACA